AUUGAACGCUGGCGGCAGGCCUAACACAUGCAAGUCGAGCGGAUGAAGGGAGCUUGCUCCUGGAUUCAGCGGCUGACGGGUGAGUAAUUCCUAGGAAUCUGCCUGGCAUUGUGGGAUAACGUCCGGAAACGGGCGCUAAUACCGCAUCCGUUCUGAGGGGGAAACUGGGGGAUUUUCGUACCUCACGCCAUCAGAUGAGCCUAGGUCGGAUUAUCCAGUUGGUGGGGUAAUGGCCUACCAAGCCGACGAUCCGUAACUGGUCUGAGAGGAUGAUCAGUCACACGGGAACUGAGACACGGUCCAGACUCCUACGGGAGGCAGCAGAGGGGAAUAUUGGACAAUGGGCGAAAGCCUGAUCCAGCCAGGCCGCGUGUGUGAAGAAGGUCUUCGGAUUGUAAAGCCCUUUAAGUUGGGAGGAAGGGCAGUAAGGUAAUACGUUGCUGUUUUGACGGUACCAAAAGAAUAAGCACCGGCUAACUUCGUG
rnacentral:rRNA from 1 species